GCAGCAAACGCAUUAAGCACUCCGCCUGGGGAGUACGACCGCAAGGUUGAAACUCAAAGGAAUUGACGGGGGCCCGCACAAGCGGUGGAGCAUGUGGUUUAAUUCGAAGCAACGCGAAGAACCUUACCAGAUCUUGACAUCCUUUGACCACUCUAGAGAUAGAGCUUCCCCUUCGGGGGCAAAGUGACAGGUGGUGCAUGGUUGUCGUCAGCUCGUGUCGUGAGAUGUUGGGUUAAGUCCCGCAGCGAGCGCAACCCUUAUUGUUAGUUGCCAUCAUUUAGUUGGGCACUCUAGCGAGACUGCCGGUGACAAACCGGAGGAAGGUGGGGAUGACGUCAAAUCAUCAUGCCCCUUAUGACCUGGGCUACACACGUGCUACAAUGGGAAGUACAACGAGUUGCGAAGUCGCGAGGCUAAGCUAAUCUCUUAAAGCUUCUCUCAGUUCGGAUUGUAGGCUGCAACUCGCCUACAUGAAGCCGGAAUCGCUAGUAAUCGCGGAUCAGCACGCCGCGGUGAAUACGUUCCCGGGCCUUGUACACACCGCCCGUCACACCACGAGAGUUUGUAACACCNNNAGUCGGUGAGGUAACCUUUGGAGCCAGCCGCCUAAGGUGGGAUAGAUGAUUNGGGUGAAGUCGUAACAAGGUAGCC
rnacentral:rRNA from 1 species